GAUGAACGCUGGCGGCGUGCCUAAUACAUGCAAGUCGAGCGAACAUACGAGGAGCGUGCUCCUCUGACGUUAUCGGCGGACGGGGGAGUAACACGGGGAGAAACUACCUAUAAGACUGGGAUUACUUCGGGAAUCCGGAGCUAAUACCGGGUAAUAUAUUGAACAGCAUGGUUCAAUAGUGAAAGUCGGUGUUGCUGUCACUUUUAGAUGUAUCCGCGCCGCAUUAGCUAGUUGGUGAGGUAACGGCUUACCAAGGCAAAGAUGCUGAGCCGACACGAGAGCGAGAUUGACCACACUGGAACAGAGAAAGGGUCGCCACUCCUACGGGAGGCAGCAGUAGGGACUCUUCCGCAAUGGGCGAAAGCGUAACGGAGCACAGCGGCGUGAGUGAUGAAGGUCUUAGGACGGUAAAACUAUGUUAGUAGGGAAAACCAAAUGUGUAAGUCACUAUGCACGUAUUGACGGUACCUAAUCAGAAAGCCCCGGCUAACUACGUG
rnacentral:rRNA from 1 species